GACACUUCUGCUUGAAUGCCGCUAAACUUUUGGCAUGAAUCAGGACCAGGCUUAAAGGAUCUUUGUUCUGAAAUGUGGGCGUUGUUAUGCUGAUGGUGUUAUGGGUAGCCGAGUGUUGUGUCAGGACGACUUUGCUUGGUUAUCUACAUCUUUGCUGGGGUGAUCUAUUCAUGUGGAAGAACAUAUUUUCUCCUUUUUAAAUGCCACAUAACCGGAUAGCAACAGAGUAAUGGGAACAACUGAAUGACCGUCGCAAACUAUCAUAAUUGCGGGCAUGACGGGAGGAAGCAGAUGGCCACCAGAGGGCAGAGCUGCAGACAGUGAGCACUGUCCGUGACGUAGUGGUGUUAGGUGGACGCGUGUGUUUCCCUCUGUUUCCGGGGGAAGUUUCUGAUAUUUACUAUACUGUCUUCAAUAUUGACUUACCUGGCUGACGGCGGGACGUGCCAUGGCCUCCCUCGCCUGCAGGAAGGACGUGAGAGGCGCAGCAGAGCACAGCAUGCACUAACUCGCCACUAUGAAUCCUCACUCUCGCCAGUAGAGGCACCGAGACUUUGGGAGUUAGCGUGUGUCUGAUGCAGCAGCGAGAGUUGAAGAGCUCCAGCCAGGAAUUAAGAUUUAUAUGGCAAGCGUUUUGAAACUUUUAAGGGUGAGUAGUUACAAGUCUUGGGGAUGUUGGAAGGACGGAUUGGAGUGUUAAGUUUUAAAUAUGGUGGAGAGAAUCACGAAGGAUCGCAAAGGAAGAACAAACAACAACAGACGUGCUGGUGCGCACGAAGCUGUUUGUGGUCAACUACAGUAUCUGAUAUAGAGUAAGAGACGCAGGACAAUAAAGGUGAACGGUAAAAAUAUAUUCAGGGGAAAAAGUCCUGGUAAUUAUCUCUCCCAUAAAAGAAGAAGAAGAAGAAGAAGAAGAAGAAGAAGAAGAAGAAGAGGAAGAAGAAGGAAAAUAAGAGGUCUAUUAAAUGUUACAGGCGAAAACAAGCAAAAUUAUUAAUUUCUUUCACCUGCUACAUAUUCAUUAUUUUUUCAUUAAUUAAAAAAAAGUGCGGAGCUCUUAACUCUAACUGCAAUAGGCUUUCAGUUUUCUUAGAGUAUUGCGGUGGAAGCUUGAAUUGUGAUUCCGAAAGACACCACAGGUAGCAGGAGGAGUGAUGAAGUUCAAAUUUUUCAUUACCUGUAGACAAUCAGCAGCAGCUAUGGCUUGAUAUAAAGGAGUUAAUCUGUGCAUUAAUUCCUACUCACUUUGUUGACAGAAUUCACUGGACUUUUUGAGAUCACUGGGUCACCUGUACACAGAGGUGGGGAAAUUCUGGCGCGUCACAUAAAACAUUCAAAGCGAACAUAAGAGUGAACGUGAAAUCAAGUAGAAUGUUGGAGUUUGAUCAGUGUGCUCGCCUGCCUGUGACGCGCCGGGAAAUGGCCGCCACUGACAUGCUGAUUGCGCUGUAAUUUUUCAUCAAUGGCCCGGAAAGCUGCCGCUGUGCUCAU